rnacentral:lncRNA from 1 species
GUGGUGUCAACAGAACCACACAAUCUGCAGAGGAGUUUGUAGUUCGGGUUCCCGUGGUAGAUGUGCAGAGUGACAACUUCAAGGAGAUAUGGCCAUCACUCUUGCUAGCCUUAAAGACAGCUAGCUUUGUGGCGGUGGACACGGUGAGGCGGGGGAGAAAAGGGAGAGCAGAUGCUUGGGAAGGGUUUGGUGGUGGGUGUAGAGGAUAAUCGAUCUUCGUUUACCCACCAUAGGAGCUGAGUGGCCUUGGGGAUAGGAAGAGUUUGCUGAACCACCAUGCCCAAACCCAACUCUAAGGUGCAUCGAGGAACGUUAUAAGGCCGUGUGUCAUGCUGCCAGGACCCGUUCUGUCCUGUCCCUGGGCCUCGCCUGCUUCAAGCAGCAACCAGAUAAGGGUGACAGUUCUUACUUGGCUCAAGUGUUCAAUCUCACCCUACUGUGCAUGGAGGAGUAUGUUAUAGAACCGAAGUCAGUACAGUUCCUGGUACAGCAUGGCUUCAACUUCAACCGGCAGUAUGCUCAGGGGAUCCCCUACCAUAAAGGCAAUGACAAGGGAGAUGAAAGCCAGAGCCAGUCAGUACGGACACUGUUCCUUGAACUAAUUCGAGCCCGGCGGCCGC